CGAGUGCUGGCGAAGGCUGUGAUAAUAUCGUAGGGGCGCUGUGUAACUAAUUACUGUACAUGGUAAUGAGUAUGUUCGAGCAGAGUUGGUUCUGUAGCGGAUGUGAGUUGAACCUCCUUUAUUGAUGAUGAAGCAUCUUCCCAUUUCCAAGUGGCUGGCUCAGUUGGGUGUCCCUGAAUACUUCAAUGAAGAAAAUAACGGCAUAGAUGUGACCAUUUCCUCAGCUGGGGGGAGAGGAAGAGUCUCCAGGUUCCUGCAUAAAUUGUGGUGGAAGAUUGGCAGAAACUUUGAAGAAAUGGCAUAAUCAGCUGUAACGGG